rnacentral:rRNA from 1 species
AUUGAACGCUGGCGGCAGGCCUAACACAUGCAAGUCGAGCGGAUGAAGGGAGCUUGCUCCUGGAUUCAGCGGCGGACGGGUGAGUAAUGCCUAGGAAUCUGCCUGGUAGUGGGGGAUAACGUCCGGAAACGGGCGCUAAUACCGCAUACGUCCUGAGGGAGAAAGUGGGGGAUCUUCGGACCUCACGCUAUCAGAUGAGCCUAGGUCGGAUUAGCUAGUUGGUGGGGUAAAGGCCUACCAAGGCGACGAUCCGUAACUGGUCUGAGAGGAUGAUCAGUCACACCGGAACUGAGACACGCUCCAGACUCCUACGGGAGGCAGCAGUGGGGAAUAUUGGACAAAGGGCGAAAGCCUGAUCCAGCCAUGCCGCGUGUGUGAAGAAGGUCUUCGGAUUGUAAAGCACUUUAAGUUGGGAGGAAGGGCAGUAAGUUAAUACCUUGCUGUUUUGACGUUACCAACAGAAUAAGCACCGGCUAACUUCGUG